rnacentral:rRNA from 1 species
UACCAGCACCCCGAGUGGUCGGGACGUUUAUUGGGCCUAAAGCAUCCGUAGCCGGUUCUACAAGUCUUCCGUUAAAUCCACCUGCUUAACAGAUGGGCUGCGGAAGAUACUAUGGAGCUAGGAGGCGGGAGAGGCAAGCGGUACUCGAUGGGUAGGAGUAAAAUCCGUUGAUCCAUUGAAGACCACCAGUGGCGAAGGCGGCUUGCCAGAACGCGCUCGACGGUGAGGGAUGAAAGCUGGGGGGAGCAAACCGG